AUUGAACGCUGGCGGCAGGCUUAACACAUGCAAGUCGAGCGGAGAUGAGGUGCUUGCACCUUAUCUUAGCGGCGGACGGGUGAGUAAUGCUUAGGAAUCUGCCUAUUAGUGGGGGACAACAUUCCGAAAGGAAUGCUAAUACCGCAUACGUCCUACGGGAGAAAGCAGGUGAUCUUCGGACCUUGAGCUAUUAGAUGAGCGUAAGUCGGAUUAGCUAGUGUGUGGGGUAAAGGCCUACCAAGGCGACGAUCUGUAGCGGGUCUGAGAGGAUGAUCCGCCACACUGGGACUGAGACACGGCCCAGACUCCUACGGGAGGCAGCAGUGGGGAAUAUUGGACAAUGGGGGGAACCCUGAUCCAGCCAUGCCGCGUGUGUGAAGAAGUCCUUAUGGUUGUAAAGCACUUUAAGCGAGGAGGAGGCUACUGAGACUAAUACUCUUGGAUAGUGGACGUUACUCGCAGAAUAAGCACCGGCUAACUCUGUGCCAGCCGCCGCUGUAACAC
rnacentral:rRNA from 1 species